rnacentral:lncRNA from 1 species
CAAAUUGCAUAUAACGAUCCUGUGAACUGGUCUUUAGGUCUAAAACCCUUUGAAAUUAUUCUUGGUUGUGAACCUUUGAAACCUCUAGACCUUAUUCUCAUGCACCCACAUGCUUGUGUGUCUAUGUCAGUUGAGGUAGUUGUAUCACAUUUUCAUAGCUUGCAUAUUGAGAUCAAUAAACAAUUUGAAGCAAGUAAAGCAUUAUAUAAACCUCAAGUUGAUUGGCAUAAACAAUACUUUGAAUUUAAUAUUGGGGAUUAUGUUAUAUUGCAAGCGUGUAAUGCUGGUCUUUUUAAAAUUUCAAAGCAUGUUGGUCAAAAUGCCUAUGUCAAUGACCUUUUAUCACAUUAUGACCACCACCCUAUUUUAUUUGUUACGGACUUCGAUGCUUACAACGGCUAUUUUAGCCCCUCUGAUGACCCAUUUCUACUCCCACAUGAGAAUUCCCACACUGAAUGUUUUGCCAUGUCUGCUUCAAUCCCACCUAUCACAGCACACAAAAAUAAAAUUGAUGUUAUUUUGGAUGAACAGCUUGUGUUGACCAAUAAUAGAGAGAUUCAGUGCUUUCUUGUUCGUUGGAUGGAUCGACUUGAUUCUGACGGUACAUGGAUUCCCAAAGAGAGACUUCAGCGGCGUGAGCCAAAUUUAUUGGAGCUUUAUAAGAGUCAGCAAAAUUCUCACUCGCCUAAGUUAUCUUGGUCAGCUCAUGUUUUUGCGAGUAAUUUGCAAUUGGCAUUGUCAUCAUUUGUGGAAUUUCGAUAUUUGGUUCGUCAGAAAGAUCGUCCCCCAUGGCAUGACUUGGAGCCUUUAGCAUCAGAUUCAUUGCAACAUUUUGAUUUAUCCACUCGACGGGGUCGAGUUUUUCUCCCACCCCGGGAGAGUUGAUGCGGACAUCCACUUACUAUUUAUUUUCUUUUUGGACUAUUAG